GGGAGUCUAGAGAAGAUGACGUUGGCUCUAACUUCAUCGUAGAGAAUGUUCUGCGAUGCUCAGCAACUGCCUGGUAAUCCUCCACUGUGUGGACUCUGAUUUCAGCAUUAUCUUUCUCUGCUUUCAGCUCCAGCUCAACAUUUAAGAGGGCAAUCUUGGCGUUCUUAGACUCCUUGGGCCGCGUCUCAAACUUAGCAGAAGAGAAAGUGUUCCUGACCAGGACGCCAGCCACCAGCUAAGACUCCCCUAGGGCUCCACCCCUAGGGCUGCACCUUCUUGAUGCAAACCAUGUUAAGCUUUAGCAGCUCAGCUAAGCGUCAUCACAGCAUCCACCCUGUUGGCGAGGGAGGCCUUGUGCUGGGAGCAGCCAACGGCCUCUGCACACGUCACCCUGUCAGUGGAUCAGCAGAGCUCACGCUGAGGCCCAGUGCAAGUGUGAAGACUGGAGACAGAAACUGAAUCUCCAGGUCGUGCUUUCUGUAGUGAGCUCGUCGUCGUGUGAGGAGGUGACCAGCUGAUACUCUAGGGCAAUGGCCUCACCACCUCAUCUGACACAGAGAACAACAAGGAACACACAAGCAGACUCCUGUCUAUAGAUGUCUAGAGGACCCUCCUGCACCCUUCACACACCCUGCUGUCAACUUCACACAUGUGAGUACACCUUUUGGGGACGUUGUGGAAAUGGAGCUACUGAAACGUAGGACACAGUCACUUGCUGUUUCAAAAGGACAAUGCUCUCCAUGAAGAUUCAGUCGAGUGCCAAGAUUUUACUAACACAAAGGAAAAAGUGCUGCGGUGUGGCUUUAAUUUAAACUUCUCUAGUUAAGUGAGGUUAUACAUCCCUGUCUUUGUGUGUGUGUAUGAGCCAUCUGUAGUUCAUCUUCCAGAACAUUCAGCUCUAAUCUUCAUCCGCACCUCCAUUAGAUAGACAGGCCACUUCUAGCACAUAAUUAAGUUCCACUUGUUAGAGUUUGUGGGCUUUUCAGUUUUAUUUUACUGACCUAAUUAGCAUCUGAUGCUUAUCUAUCAGUCAGUCUAUCUCACUAUCUCCCAUCUGUCUGUCUGUCUGUCUGUCAUUUCUCUACCUUACAGAAUUAGCCUUAAAGAUUAAGUGAAUUCAGAACACUAGGUUCACAGAUGUGUCUGUCCAGUAAACUUCAGGGAUCAGCAGCAAUGACUCUUCAUCUUCUAUAAUCACAGACAAGGUAGGGUUAAAUCCUGAUAUUCCACAGAGUAAAGAACUUGCAGUUCACCCCUGACUUAGUAGUUCCCAAGCUGCCUCUGUGAAUACAGUUCACUCCCUUCCCCCAGGCUCAAACUUCCCAUUUCCUGCUGGCUGAACUUCCUCACACCUGCCUCCAACAUGGCUAACCCCUCCCACCUUGCUUCUUUAAGGACUUCAAGGGCUCCCGCACCUGAGAACCAACAGAAGGAAAGGGGUUGGGGGAUUGGAAGGAAAAGCCUUGUUUCCAGGGCAUUUGGGAACCAAAGCCAACUGUAGCAUCCUCCCGUUGCUAGGAUACAGAUAGACUCUGUAUAGAGUCCCUGCCUGGAAACAGAGAGAGGGAGACUAGCUUGC